rnacentral:rRNA from 1 species
CAGUAGCCACGGGAAUACGAAGGGUGCAAGCGUUACUCGGAAUUACUGGGCGUAAAGCGUGCGUAGGUGGUGGUUUAAGUCCGUUGUGAAAGCCCUGGGCUCAACCUGGGAAUUGCAGUGGAUACUGGGUCACUAGAGUGUGGUAGAGGAUAGUGGAAUUUCCGGUGUAGCAGUGAAAUGCGUAGAGAUCGGAAGGAACAUCUGUGGCGAAGGCGACUAUCUGGGCCAACACUGACACUGAGGCACAAAAGCGUGGGGAGCAAACAGGAUUAGAUACCCGCGUAGUCCCUGUCUCUUAUAA